AAUUUCUUAGAGAAAAUCCCUCCUAUUAGAGGGAUCAAAGGCUUCUUCUUCUUUUUCCUUAGAGAAGGGUGCCUCUCUAGUGCUUCAACUCCUUGUGGCAUUAGAACUUGUGUCAAGGAAGGCGGAUUAGCAAAUGUCACAUAUCUCUUGUUUUGAAACUGUGUCCCUUCUUCAUUCGAUGUCUGCAUCACAUAUCUCUUGUUUUGAAACUGUGUCCCUUCUUCAUUCGAUGUCUGCAUUUUGACUUCAAAUUUUGUUGUGUCUUCAACAACCUUGACAACUUCAAUUUCAGAUUCUAUCAGUUGCCUUUCGACCUCACGUUCCUUCAAUUGUUG
rnacentral:lncRNA from 1 species